CUAAUGAGACUGCCAACGACAAGUUGGAGGAAGGUGGGGAUGACGUCAAAUCAUCAUGCCCUUUAUGACCUGGGCUACAAACGUACUACAAUGGCCAAUACAAAGAGAUGCGAAGCGGUGACGUGGAGCGAACCUCAGAAAGUUGGUCUCAGUUCAGAUUGAAGUCUGCAACUCGACUUCAUGAAGGCGGAAUCGCUAGUAAUCGCGGGUCAGCAGACCGCGGUGAAUACGUUCCCGGGUUUU
rnacentral:rRNA from 1 species